UACGUAGGGAGCAAGCGUUGUCCGGAAUCAUUGGGCGUAAAGCGCGCGUAGGUGGCUUCAUAAGUCCGUUGUGAAAGUCAAAGGCUCAACCUUUGAAAGCCGAUGGAUACUGUGGAGCUAGAGUACGGAAGAGGCGAGUGGAAUUCCUGGUGUAGCGGUGGAAUGCGCAGAUAUCAGGAGGAACACCAAUAGCGAAGGCAGCUCGCUGGGACGUUACUGACACUGAGGCGCGAAAAGCGUGGGGGAGCGAACAGG
rnacentral:rRNA from 1 species